ACGCUUUUACAAAAUCACCUGAAUAAACGAUUGCAGUCAAAGUGGAAGCUUCGGCAUUGAUUAAGAAAGAGGAUGAUGUUGAAACGGCAAAAAUAUGUCGAUGGUGCCUGUCGCCCACUGACGCUUUGGAGGUUCUUGCGAACGAUGAUUCCGGGCAAAAUAAAGUACAAAAAAACUUCGAUUUUGCCGGUCUGCAGAUUGAAUUAUCUCCUGGAGUUCCGUCUUAUUUGUGCACGAUGUGCGAAUCCCGUUUGAAAAAGAUAGACCACUCUGGCGAACAAACGGUUGGAACAGAAUUGUCUAUUAAAACUGAAGUUACCUCAUCGGAUGC